rnacentral:rRNA from 1 species
AGCAGCCGCGGUAAUUCCAGCUCCAAUAGCGUAUAUUAAAGUUGUUGCAGUUAAAAAGCUCGUAGUUGAAUUUCGGGAUCAGUUGAUCGGUCGUGCCUCGGUACGUACUGGUCAAAUUGAUUCCUACCUUCUGACGAACCACGAUGUCAUUAAUUUGGUGUCGCGGGAAAUCAGGACUGUUACUUUGAAAAAAUUAGAGUGUUUAAAGCAGGCUCGCGCUUGAAUACAUUAGCAUGGAAUAAUGAAAUAGGACGUUUGAUUCUAUUUUGUUGGUUUCUAGGAUCGACGUAAUGAUUAAUAGGGAUAGUUGGGGGCAUUAGUAUUCAAUUGUCAGAGGUGAAAUUCUUGGAUUUAUUGAAGACUAACUACUGCGAAAGCAUUUGCCAAGGAUGUUUUCAUUAAUCAAGAACGAAAGUUAGGGGAUCGAAGACGAUCAGAUACCGUCGUAGUCUUAACCAUAAACUAU